GAUGAAGAACGCAGCGAAAUGCGAUAAGUAGUGUGAAUUGCAGAAUUCAGUGAAUCAUCGAAUCUUUGAACGCACAUUGCGCCCCUUGGUAUUCCAUGGGGCAUGCCUGUUCGAGCGUCAUUUGUACCUUCAAGCUUUGCAUGGUGUUGGGUGUUUGUCUCGCCUUUGCGUGUAGACUCGCCUUAAAAUAAUUGGCAGCCGGCGUAUUGAUUUCGGAGCGCAGUACAUCUCGCGCUUUGCACUCAUAACGACAGCGUCCAAAAGUACAUUUUACACUCUUGACCUCGGAUCAGGUAGGGAUACCCGCUGAACUUAAGCAUAUCAAUAAGCGGAGGA
rnacentral:misc_RNA from 1 species